UAGCUCAGUUGGUAGAGCAAUGGAUUGAAGCUCCAUGUGUCGGCGGUUCGAUUCC
rnacentral:tRNA from 3 species